GACGAACGCUGGCGGCGUGCUUAACACAUGCAAGUCGAACGGAAAGGCCCUGCUUUUGUGGGGUGCUCGAGUGGCGAACGGGUGAGUAACACGUGAGUAACCUGCCCUUGACUUUGGGAUAACUUCAGGAAACUGGGGCUAAUACCGGAUAGGAGCUCCUGCUGCAUGGUGGGGGUUGGAAAUUUUCGGCGGUUGGGGAUGGACUCGCGGCUUAUCAGCUUGUUGGUGGGGUAGUGGCUUACCAAGGCUUUGACGGGUAGCCUGCCUGAGAGGGUGACCGGCCACAUUGGGACUGAGAUACGGCCCAGACUCCUACGGGAGGCAGCAGUGGGGAAUAUUGCACAAUGGGCGGAAGCCUGAUGCAGCAACGCCGCGUGCGGGAUGACGGCCUUCGGGUUGUAAACCGCUUUCGCCUGUGACGAAGCGUGAGUGACGGUAAUGGGUAAAGAAGCACCGGCUAACUACGUG
rnacentral:rRNA from 1 species